rnacentral:rRNA from 1 species
CACCGCGGUUAGACGAGGGACUCAAGUUGUUAAGUAUCGGCGUAAAGCGUGGUUAAGACAGCUCAAACACUAAAGCCGAACGCCUUCUCUACUGUUAUACGUUCCCGAAGGUAAGAAGCCCACUCACGAAAGUAGCUUUAUUUCAUCUGACCCCACGAAAGCUAGGGCA